AAUAAGUUUUAUUAACUUAAUCAGUUUUAAUUUUUGUCUUUUGAUUUAGUUUGAUUAAAAAUAUUAUAUGUAUAAUUUAAAAUUAAUUUAAUCUUGAUGAUAAAUUAAUAAUAUUGCAGUAGUAAGUAUUAAGAAUUGUUGAAUGAUUGAAUUAGUUAUAAUUAUUAAAUAUUGAUUAAAUAUGUGCCAGCAAUCGCGGUUAAACAUAAAAUGUGAUUAAAUUUUUUUAGUAUAUAGUAAUAUUAUUGAAGUUUUUAUUAUUUGUGGAUAUUUUUGGGUGAAAUUUAAAUUUUCAUAAUAGUUAAAUUUGUGGUAAUAUUAGGGGAAACUAUGAAAUUCAUUAAAAUUAAACUAGGAUUAGAUACCCUAUUAUUUUGUUUUUAAAAUUGUUAUCUUAGGUAGUAAUAGUUAAGAUCUUGAAACCUAAAAAAUUUGGCGGUAUUUUAGUCUAUUUAGAGGAAUUUGUCCCGUGAUCGAUAAUCCACGUUGAACCUUUCUUAAAUCUAUGGAUAUGUAUACCACCGUUUUGAAAAUCUUUUUAGGGAUAUAUUUUCUUUAUUUUUUAAUAAAAGUUAUUUCAGGUCAAGGUGCAGUUUAUAUUUAAGUGGAGAUGAAUUACAAUAUAAAAAUGUAUUAUGGAUUAUAUAUUGAAAUAUAUAUAUUAAGGUGGAUUUAAUAGUAAUAUUAUAAAGAUUAUUAAUAUGAUUAAUUAGCUCUAAAAUGUGUACAUAUUGCCCGUCACUCUCAUUUUAAAAUGAGAUAAGUCGUAACAAAGUAGAUGUACCGGAAGGUGUAACUAGAAUGAUAAG
rnacentral:ncRNA from 1 species